UACGAAGGGGGUUAGCGUUGCUCGGAAUUACUGGGCGUAAAGCGCACGUAGGCGGCUUUCUAAGUCGGGGGUGAAAUCCUGGAGCUCAACUCCAGAACUGCCUUCGAUACUGGAGAGCUCGAGUCCGGGAGAGGUGAGUGGAACUGCGAGUGUAGAGGUGAAAUUCGUAGAUAUUCGCAAGAACACCAGUGGCGAAGGCGGCUCACUGGCCCGGUACUGACGCUGAGGUGCGAAAGCGUGGGGAGCAAACAGG
rnacentral:rRNA from 1 species